GUUAAAAGGAUCAUUCGGUAUGUUAAAGGAACAAGCGAGUAUGGCCUCUGGUAUUGUAACAUACCAGAUUUUGGUAUAAAAAUAAAAAUAAAUAAAAAUAGUGUGAGAAACUAUUUUUAUUGGAUUUAUAGAAGUAAAACAUAAGUCAGAAGUGACUUGUGCUGAAAUCGGAAUGAAAACAGAAGAUCUAAAAUUUUCUGUUGGAAACGGGACAGAUAAAUUAGUAGAAAAUGCACAGUCUCAGAAAAUUAUGAAAAUUGGAGGAUAAGUCAGAAAUAUUUUUAUGAGACUAGAUUUAAAGUUUCAAAUUUUUCUGACACUCGUAGAGUGAGAAAUAAAAUCUGACAGCUAUCUGAUAAAGAUUACAGUUCGGCACAAUUUUCGGUGACCAAAUGGGGUCGAAACUGAAAACUUAAAAUAUAUUCUUACUCAGUACGUUAAACUGAGUCUGUCUGUCAAAUUUGAGCUCAAACGGACAUUCAGAAGGGCUCCAACUGUUCUGAACUACAAAAACUGCCUGAAGUGAAUAGUGUUUUGGUGUUGACUUGAGAGG
rnacentral:lncRNA from 1 species